UCUCGAUUGGUCUAGUGGUCAGGAUACCUGCUUGUCAUUUCAAUGAACAAGUUCGCAGGUGGCCGGGGUUCGAUUCCCCGAUCGAGAG